rnacentral:snRNA from 1 species
GUGCUUGCUUUGGCAGCACAUACACUAAAAUUGGGACGAUACAGAGAAGAUUGGCAAGGCCCCUGAACAAGGAUGACAUGCAAAUUCGUGAAGCGUUCCACAUUUUU